CAGUAGGGAAUCUUCCGCAAUGGACGAAAGUCUGACGGAGCAACGCCGCGUGAGUGAGGAAGGCCUUCGGGUCGUAAAGCUCUGUUGUGAGGGAAGAAGCGGUACCGGAAUAGNNGGCGGUACCUUGACGGUACCUCACCAGAAAGCCACGGCUAACUACGUGCCAGCAGCCGCGGUAAUACGUAGGUGGCAAGCGUUGUCCGGAAUUAUUGGGCGUAAAGCGCGCGCAGGCGGCUUCUUAAGUCUGAUGUGAAAUCUCGGGGCUCAACCCCGAGCGGCCAUUGGAAACUGGGGAGCUUGAGUGCAGAAGAGGAGAGUGGAAUUCCACGUGUAGCGGUGAAAUGCGUAGAGAUGUGGAGGAACACCAGUGGCGAAGGCGACUCUCUGGUCUGUAACUGACGCUGAGGCGCGAAAGCGUGGGGAGCAAACAGGAUUAGAUACCUGGGUAGUCC
rnacentral:rRNA from 1 species